CGCACCCUUUCGAUGCAGCUUGCACGUUCUUGAUGUACUUGUGAAGAACGCCUCUAGUAGCCUUAUACGCCGGUGGACUCCAGUGCUUUCUUCGCUCUUCCAUCUCUUGAUCGGAUAUUUGAACAUCGAUUCUCCGGUUCUGGACAUCGACAUUGAUGAUAUCACCAUUUUGAACCAACCCGAUCGGUCCGCCAUCCAACGCUUCAGGGCAGAUGUGACCAACCACGAAGCCAUGUGAACCUCCAG
rnacentral:misc_RNA from 1 species